AUAACUAGGUAAUCGCUGCAAACGAGAUUUGUAGAGGAAAGUCCAUGCUCGCACCAUCUGAGAUGAUGGUAGUGUUUGUGCUUAACGAAAAAAUAAGUUAAGGCAUCCAAUGGAUGACGGCGAACUCUUAACCUAAGGCUUAGCUAUGGUUAAGAGCGUAAAGUGCCACAGAAACGAUCUAUUUAGAAAUAAAUAGCUGGAACGGGUAAACCCCACAAGCGAGAAACCCAAAAUUGGUAGGGGAACUUUUCCAAGUGAAUUCAAACAAGGAAAAGACACACUGUGUAGAUAAAUGGUUACCACCUUAUUUUAUAAGGGACAGAACAUGGCUUAUAUGU
rnacentral:RNase_P_RNA from 1 species